rnacentral:rRNA from 1 species
CCUACGGGAGGCAGCAGUGAGGAAUAUUGGUCAAUGGGCGCGAGACUGAACCAGCCAAGUAGCGUGAAGGAUGACUGCCCUGCGGAUUGUAAACUUCUUUUAUCAAGGAAUAAAGACAGGCACGUGUGCCUGUUUGAAUGUACUUUAUGAAAAAGGAUCGGCUAACUCCGUGCCAGCAGCCGCGGUAAUACGGAGGAUGCGAGCGUUAUCCGGAUUUAUUGGGUUUAAAGGGAGCGUAGAUGGUCUGUUAAGUCAGUUGUGAAAGUUUGGGGCUCAACCGUAAAAUUGCAAUUGAUACUGGCAGUCUUGAGUAGAGUAGAGGUAGGCGGAAUGCGUGGUGUAGCGGUGAAAUGCAUAGAUAUCACGAAGAACUCCGAUUGCGAAGGCAGCAUACU